rnacentral:tRNA from 1 species
UAAUGAGUAGUUUAAGUGAUAAAAACAAUAGGUUGUGGUUCUAUAGACAGGAUUAUUGACUCUCAUUAG